rnacentral:lncRNA from 1 species
CCUCCUUGCCUCUCUCUCCCCUUCUAUCUCUAGAGGAAGAAAGGGAAAGGAAACUAGUCCCUCUCCAUUGCCUGUCAUCCUUUCUCUCUCUCCCCCACACCACUGUCAUCUACCCUCGACUGCUCACUCUCAUCUCUCUCUCUUUCUUCCUUUUCUAUGUUUUUCUCUCUCACAUACUCUCCCCUUCUCUAAGCUAAGCUAGAGGGGUCCCCAAUCGUGUUUCCAUCUCACACUCUAUCGAGGAAAACAAAGCGAGGAUAGUGGCCUAGCUAUUAGAACAAUGGCCAUUUUCCCAGUUAAAACGGUCAUUCUUUUAAAAUC